AGAAAACAAAUACAUCUGCAAAGUGGAGAAGAGACGCUUUCAUCUUUCCACUAUAUAUUUCUAAACGCACCCCAGUUAGCAACGAUGAAUCUUCAGCAAACUACGCGCAGCGUCCAGGACCUGCUUUACACACUUGGUACAUCACUGGAGAGGUUCAGGGGUGCGAAUGGCUUGCAUCAUCUGGUAACCACAGGAAAAUUAUCCCUUCUGUCGCUUUUUGGCGUGUUCGAGCGCACUAGAGAUGAAGAAUAUGAGAAGCGCUCCGCGGCUGUAAACGAGACUCGCCGCUGUUUACUGCAGCUUGUCGACGAUUUCGAAGGAAUUACUGAGUCGACCGAGAAGUUGGCGCGGAAAAUCGACGGGCUGCUGGGCACACUGGAGCAGUUUCAUCGCUGCUGUGACAUGGAAGUCGACGGUCGCGCCAAUGCCGGCGACUCAGAUGCCCCGCAAGUGGGACAAUAUUUUCGGCAGAUUCGCGAGGCCAGCAGUCAGUUAAAACGGUUUCUUGAUGACUUCAGCGCCUCGAAAACCACGUGUGUGGAUGUGACACGCACCGCCAUAAAGGAGAUCGAGAAAGUGAACGCAGACACGUCGUGCAAUGUCGCGGCUGCACUCACAGACUUCGACCGCCAGCGUCGUCGCCUUCAGAUGAAGGAGAACGAAAUGAUGCACGCCAUGUCUCGCGCCACGUCCAGGGAAGACCCGGCUGUACGGUACGCAGAACUCAACUGCGUGAAGGAAUCGGAGGCGCUAGAGAGUCUUGGUCGGAAGUACAUUGAUUCUCUCGGAAAUGCCAUGACGGCAACUCAUUUUGCUCUUGAACAGUCGUCGAUGACCGGCUGGGCGUCGUCCAACGUCUUCUUUGUGCAGCUCGGUCAGCUUUUUAGUGAGCUCUCGGCAAUUGGUAAAGCGAUCGCAGCGAGCCUGCUGUCCAUAAAGAACUCGCAGAAAGUGUCUCAUCAGUUGUCAGAGGAGAAACGAAGAAUUUUGCGAGAGCAGAGAGCAGCAGCCGCUGCGGCAGGUGUGGCGACGAACAUUGAGACAAAUCUUUUUAAUGGAGGUGCAGGUGUCUCAUCAGGGGCGUCGUCUCUUCUUGCGGCUCCAUCGCCAGCGGACCCAUCUGCUAGGGUAAGCUUACCGACUGAAGGGCAGGGGCGAGGAUCCGUGAAUCUUGACGAUUUGUUUCACUGAGGAAGGUCCUGAGAGUCAUGACGCGACUCUGCCGCGUUUGUUGCUUAUUGUUUUGUGUGCAGUCCCUGUGCUCUCCCUUAGUGUGUCUUUACUUACUCUUUACCCUAUCGCUACGUGCUUGUUUGCUUCCCACUCGUUGCGAAAAUGAAAACGCUCUGCUUGUCUGCCUUCUGAUGCCGCGUGCGAAGCCAUGGCCGUUCCCUAAC
rnacentral:misc_RNA from 1 species